rnacentral:rRNA from 1 species
GAUGAACGCUGGCGGCGUGCCUAAUACAUGCAAGUCGAGCGAACGGACGAGAAGCUUGCUUCUCUGAUGUUAGCGGCGGACGGGUGAGUAACACGUGGAUAACCUACCUAUAAGACUGGGAUAACUUCGGGAAACCGUAGCUAAUACCGGAUAAUAUUUUGAACCGCAUGGUUCAAAAGUGAAAGACGGUCUUGCUGUCACUUAUAGAUAGAUCCGCGCUGCAUUAGCUAGUUGGUAAGGUAACGGCUUACCAAGGCAACGAUGCAUAGCCGACCUGAGAGGGUGAUCGGUCACACUGGAACUGAGACACGGUCCAGACUCCUACGGGAGGCAGCAGUAGGGAAUCUUCCGCAAUGGGCGAAAGCCUGACGGAGCAACGCCGCGUGAGUGAUGAAGGUCUUCGGAUCGUAAAACUCUGUUAUUAGGGAAGAACAUAUGUGUAAGUAACUGUGCACAUCUUGACGGUACCUAAUCAGAAAGCCACGGCUAACUACGUG